GAUGAACGCUAGCGACAGGCCUAACACAUGCAAGUCGAGGGGCAGCAUUUCUAGCUUGCUAGAAGAUGGCGACCGGCGCACGGGUGAGUAACGCGUAUGCAACCUACCUUAUACUGGGGGAUAGCCCAGAGAAAUCUGGAUUAAUACCGCAUAACAAUGUUUUAUCGCAUGGUAAGAUAUUUAAAACUCCGGUGGUAUAAGAUGGGCAUGCGUAGCAUUAGUUAGUUGGUGAGGUAACGGCUCACCAAGACAAUGAUGCUUAGGGGGUCUGAGAGGAUAGUCCCCCACACUGGUACUGAGACACGGACCAGACUCCUACGGGAGGCAGCAGGGAGGAAUAUUGGUCAAUGGAUGCAACCCUGAGCCAGCCAUGCCGCGUGUAGGAUGACUGCCCUAAGGGUUGUAAACUACUUUUGUAUAGGAAGAACAGCAGAUACGUGUAUUUGUGUGACGGUACUGUACGAAUAAGCAUCGGCUAACUCCGUGCCAGCAGCCGCGGUAAUACGGAGGAUGCAGGCGUUAUCCGGAUUUAUUAGGUUUAAAGGGUGCGUAGGCGGGAUUAUAAGUCAGUGGUGAAAUCUUACGGCUCAACCGUAAAACUGCCAUUGAUACUAUUAGACUUGAAACAAUUUGACGUGAGUGGAAUGAGUAGUGUAGCGGUGAAAUGCAUAGAUAUUACUCAGAACACCGAUAGCGAAGGCAGCUCACGAAGAUUGGUUUGACGCUGAUGGACGAAAGCGUGGGUAGCGAACAGGAUUAGAUACCCUGGUAGUCCACGCCGUAAACGAUGAUAACUGGACCUUGGUGUUUACAUCAGAGUCUGAGCGAAAGUAUUAAGUUAUCCACCUGGGGAGUACGUUCGCGAGAAUGAAACUCCAAGGAAUUGACGGGGGCCCGCACAAGCGGUGGAGCAUGUGGUUUAAUUCGAUGAUACGCGAGGAACCUUACCUGGGCUUAAAUGUAGAUUGACAGAUUGGGAAACCAGUCCUUCUUCGGACAAUCUACAAGGUGCUGCAUGGCUGUCGUCAGCUCGUGCCGUGAGGUGUUGGGUUAAGUCCCGCAACGAGCGCAACCCCUAUCUUUAGUUGCCAGCGAGUAAUGUCGGGGACUCUAAAGAAACUGCCUACGCAAGUAGUGAGGAAGGCGGGGACGACGUCAAGUCAUCAAGGCCCUUACGUCCUGGGCCACACACGUGCUACAAUGGUAGAUACAGAGGGAAGCUACCCCGCGAGGGGGAUGCGAAUCUCGAAAGUCCAUCACAGUUCGGAUUGGAGUCUGCAACUCGACUCUAUGAAGCUGGAAUCGAUAGUAAUAGCGCAUCAGCCAUGGCGCGGAGAAUACGUUCCCGGGCCUUGUACACACCGCCCGUCAAGCCAUGGGAGUGGGUUGCACCAGAAGUGGCUAGUCUAACUGUUUACAGGGGACGGUCACCACGGUGUGAUUCAUGACUGGGGUA
rnacentral:rRNA from 1 species